ensembl:snRNA U6 U6 spliceosomal RNA
GUGCUCGCUUUUGCAGCACAUAUACUAAAAUUGGACUGAUACAGAGAAGAUUAGCAUGGCCCCUGCACAAAGAAGACAUAGAAAUGUGUGAAGCCUUGCAUGAAUUA